GCAGUAGACACUGUCAGUUUUUUCCAGUCUCUGCUUCACAGAUGAAAAGGACUCAACUUGCUUCUAUAAAACAGCCACGGAGGUGCAGGGAAGCAGGCCUUGGUGUCUUUCAGACCUUCACUGACAAGGUGUUGAUCCACGGACGUCGAUAGCUCAGGUCCAGUGUUCUUGCAGCCAGUCUGUGAACACUCACUUCAAUAGAAAGCCCUGUGGUCCCUGCCAGCAACUCUGGUCCACAGAUGUCUCCGGAUGCAGCCCCACCCUUGCUUGGUUGCUGCAGUGGGCUCUGCAAAUGAUCUGCACACCAGAGCCAUAACCAACCUUAAGGGGGACUUCAGCGAAAGGUAGGAAACAUGCUGGCUUCAGAAAAGUAUUUUUGAUGUUUGACAUACUCCAAAAACUUUUGAGAAAGAAUUCC
rnacentral:lncRNA from 1 species